rnacentral:rRNA from 1 species
AAUGAACGCUGGCGGCAUGCCUAACACAUGCAAGUCGAACGAAGGCUUCGGCCUUAGUUGCGCACGGGUGCGUAACGCGUGGGAAUCUGCCCCUUGGUUCGGAAUAACAGUUAGAAAUGACUGCUAAUACCGGAUGAUGACGUAAGUCCAAAGAUUUAUCGCCGAGGGAUGAGCCCGCGUAGGAUUAGCUAGUUGGUGUGGUAAGAGCGCACCAAGGCGACGAUCCUUAGCUGGUCUGAGAGGAUGAGCAGCCACACUGAGGCUGAGACACGGCCCAGACUCCUACGGAAGGCAGCAGUGGGGAAUACUGGACAAUGGGCGGAAGCCUGAUGGAGCAAUGCCGCGUAAGUGAUGAAGGUCUUAGAGUUGUAAAGCUCUUUUAUCCGGGAUGAUAAUGACAGUACCGGGAGAAUAAGCACCGGCUAACUCCGUG